rnacentral:lncRNA from 1 species
CAAAGAUGUCUGCUGACCCACAAAUGUCACAUGGACAUUUCAGGAAUAAUUAGAUAUGUGGCUCCAGUUAUAGAGGAAAUCUUUCCAGAAGCCCUUCAGUAGAGAUGUUUAUGUCACAUUAGCUCUUAUGCUCUCACCCUCCUAUUGAGGUUAGAUGGAACCUGUGUUCAGCUUUCACAGCCUCUUUGAAGACAGGCAAUAGUGAUUGGGUAAGAAUACUGGGGUGGGCCAACUAACAAUGAAUACCAUAUGGUUGAAAUGUAAUAUGCAAGGAGGCCUAAGCCUAAUAUGAAAAGUUCAAGGAGUAGGACCCUACAUCUUCUAGGGCCUAUACAGUCCUACACUCAUGACAUUCUUCAAAGCAAAGAAACCACAAUUGCCACAGCUACCUACUGACCAAAGUUAAUGGAUUCAGGGGUGCUGGGAAGUAGGCUCACCAUAUUCCCCCUCUUCUACCCUCUUAGAUCAGCUUUAAAAUGCUUAUCUAGAAAGCCCCAGAUCACAAAAAACCAUUUGAGCUGUUAAAGCUGUUACCUGUAUCUUGCUUCCACUAACCCCACACAACUCAAGCAUCAGAAGCUCCAUGUCCACAUAACAAUAUUGCCUAAGGAUCAUGCAUGCAGGUACCAAGCCUACCCUCAGGGACUACAGGCCUACCAGAAAACCCACAGCAGGAAAUAAGAGUUACUUUCUGCUACUAGACUAUGGAAACGUUAGACAAAAAGCAAAUGAGUGAUUUUCUCAUUGAAGUUCAAAAUGGGUCAUAAAGCAGCAGAGACAACUUGCAAGAAUGCAUUUGGCCCAGGAACUGCUAACAUACGGUACAGUGGUGGUUCAAGAAGCGUUGCAAAGGAGACAAGAGCCUUGAAGAUGAGAUAGUGGCCAGCUAUUGGAAGUUGACAACAACCAAUUGAGAGCAAUCAUUGAAGCUGAUCAAAGCUGAUCCUCUUACAACUAUACAAGAAGUUGACGAAUAACUCAAUGUUGACCAUUCUACAGUCAUUUGAAGCAACUGGAAAAGGUGGAAAACCUUGGUAAGUGGGUGCUUCAUGAGCUGAGUGAAAGUUUUUAAAAUCAUCGUUUAAGUGUCAUCUUAUUCUAUGCAAAAACAAAGAACCACUUCUUGAUCAGAUUGUGACAUGUGAUGAAAAGUGAAUUUUAUAUGACAACUGGCGAUGACCAGCUCAGUGGUUGGACCAAGUAGCACCUCCAAAGCACUUCCCAAAGCCAUAUUUUUACCAAAAAAAGGGUCAUGGUCACCGUUUGGUGGUCUGCUGCCAGUCUGAUCCACUGUAGCUUUCUGAAUCCUGGUGAAACCAUUACAUCUGAGAAGUAUGCUCAGCAUAUCAAUAAGUUGCAACAAAAACCCUAAGGCCUGCAGUUAAUAUUGUUUAGCAGAAAGGGUACAGUUCUCCAGGACAAUGCCUGACUGCACAUCACACAACCAAUGCUUCAAAAGUUGAAUGAAUUAGGCUAUGAAGUUGCGCCUCAUCUGCCACAUUCACCUGACCUCUUGCCAAAAUGCUUGAACCGGUAGUCAGUUGCCAAUUUUUGCAGGGAAAAUGCUUCUACAACAAGCAAGAUGAAGAAAAUGCUCUCCAAGAGUUCAAAUCCCAAAGCAUGGAUUUUUGUUACAAGAAUCAACUUAUUUCUCAUUGGCAAAAAUCUGUUGAUUGUAAUGGUUCCUACUUUGAUUAAUAAAGAUGUGUUUGAGCCUAGUUAUAAUGAUUUAAAAUUCACAGUUCAAAACCGCAAUUACUUUUGUGCCAACCUAAUACAGCCCCUCACCAGAGAAGCUUGGGUAACCUCACACCCAAUACCUAUUUUUACAUCUCUGUAGCCCAAGAAUACAGGCAUCUUUCCUACUACAUCUUUCCCAGGCCACACAGCUGGAUGACAUGCUACAGCUUUACCUAGAUUCUGGUGAGGUACUGAAGACACCAGCAUCAGGGGCCAGGACUUGCACAAACAACAAUGUGAUGGGUUCUUAAUGAUGGUUUCACAUGAGCUUCCUUAGAAUACCAGAACUCCACCUGAACCUGCCAGUGGCCAAUGUCUAACCACUACAUUCAAAGCCAGACUGAAGUUUUAGCCAGGUAGCCAACCUCAAAAGUUAGACACCACCAGCCUAGACAGUGGGAGAAGCAGAGGAAACCUGAUCAGGUGAGCUAGCAUAUCAUUACUAGUUGAGUUUGGUACUAAAUCUGAAGAGUUCUCUUCUAUACCGGGUGGUGUAACAGACUAGUUACCCCAAAUCCUUGCUUUCCUCUGUUUUGGUCAGAGUCUCCUGUUAGGUAGCCAUACAGCUCCCCAAGCUAAAAACAAGACAAGCCUCUUACUCAUACUUGUGACCACAUGACUAUCCUGGACAAUGUAUGUGAGCAGAACUUGUGGGAAAAUUCCAGUUCAUGCCUUUAGAAAGGCAGCUUCAGGCUGGCCACCUUUUGUUUCUACUUCUGCUUGUUGGCACAGAUGGUGUCAUAGUGAGCCAUCUUUCACAACUCAAAUGCCUUUGGGAGACUCGAUCAAAGAAAGGGAUCCCAAAUCCACAGCUGACCUGAACAAAACCACCCAUGGACUACUUACUACCUUAAACCAUUAGUCAUUGAAUGACUAAGUCAGGAUUUUGAUGUCUAUUCAAGCAAAGGAACAUCCCAAAGAGAAUGGAUAUGUAACACCAACUACUUAAUGGAUACAUAACACUAACUACCUAUCUCACUGAUACUGGUCACGCAAACAACCUGACAAUACCUCGAUGAUCCUCCAGUGCUAGACUUCAGUAGUUACAGACUAGGCUCCUUGCCCUGGGGGAAAAGAGGGGAAAAGACUGGUCUCCAAUAGAACCUCAUACCAAUCAGAUGGAACCCUUUCAGGGAGAUUAACAUGAUCCUCUUCAGUUCCACUUGACAAUUACUUCAUGCCCUGAAAAUUCAACCAACUAAGCACAACUCUUCCUGCCAGUUCUUUACCAGGUACCAGCAAUGCUGCAAGUUAAGUUCUGGGACCCAAGUAGAUCACUGCGCUGAUUUGGCUAUCCCUGCUCCCAGAAGAGCAUUGCAGCUCCACCAAACAGAGGAACAGUCAUUGAACACCAAUACUCAUUAGAGGCAAAUAUGAAGGAGAAAAACCACUUUGAAUUCAAAAGGACAUGAAUGUUAAAGACAAAAAGUUAAGGAAACACCAUGUUCAGGCUACAGGGGAGGAAUCUGACCAUGUAGCCUCAAGUUCUAUGAUUUGAUAUCUAAACACAAGUGAUAGAAAAUGCUAUGUCUAACAGUACCUGAAGUUGUAGUCAAACCAGAACUAGAAGAAGAUAUGCAGCUUAUGUAGACCAAAGAGGAGCUUGCAGGUCAAAGUGAAGGAGAACCAGAAGGAACAUCAUGUCCUCUAUCAAAGAGGCACACAGACCUACUUGUUCUCAGAUGUAUCUCCUUCACUCAGUAGGUGUCUCCAUACCUACUGAGAAUAUGUCUUUGGAGCCUGUGCUAAGAUGGUGGGAAUAGCCAACACCUGAUGAGCAGCAUCAGCAUAAUGGACUCACUUGACUCAUUUUAGAACCUCCUACCCUUUCAACAGGUUGAGACAGGGUCCCAGACCCUUCUGUGGAAAAAUGAUGGCACCCAAAGGUGUUCUUGUGUCACAGAAAAUUAGGUUUUACACAUCCCCACACUUGCAGUUCUCAAUAGCAUCCCAUUGGAUACAAGAUACUGUCAAAAAUCCUUAGCAGUACCAAAGAUGUUAUCUAGUGCUCAGCUUCCUGUCAGCUCAGCAAAUGAAGUCUGUUUCAAAUGUGGCGCUUCACAUUAGAAUCAAAAUGGCCUGGAGAUAGUUGAUCUGUCCUCAUUGUUCACAGAUUGUGACUGAGACUGAAUGGGGAAUGCACAUAGGGAGGUCAGGCAUGAGUGAAGUACAGGCACUUUGGGGCAGGCACAUUUAAGCCAAGAUCUAGAAUCCAGCAAGGAGCUUCAACCAUUGAUUAAUGUAGGAUAAAAAUAUAUGUCAACCACAUCUUCAAAUGCCCAUACUGGUCGGUAGCCACAGAAAAUGGGCCACUGAUUGCAGUAAAGGAGCACCAAAGGCAAGAGGCAUGGGGGACAGUCAUCUAGGGAAGCUCCAGGGUGGGACAGCAUUUGCAUUUGUGAGGUUUGGGAGGUGAAGAGUUAACCACCCUACAAUUUUCUUCAAUCUCUUAUCUAGCACACAGAAUCCCCCCCAUGGACUCACUAUUAGUUGGUUCUAGUCCAAUUCAUACCACCCCCAACUAUCCCAAUGUUUAGCUCUAAUCUGUGUCUUAGAGGAAACUAGAGGAUACACUCUGAAGGAAAAGCCAACAUUCCAAGUCAAGCGGUGCCCUUCACUCAGGGAGGAAACUCAUCUUUUCCUCAGAUGGACCCAUAACCAGGACAUGGGAACUCAGAAGAUCCUAAGCCUCCCUGAGUAGAGACCACAAGGGAAUAUUCAAGAGGAAAGCACUUCAGUACUUCUAUGCUUCUGCUCCUACUCUAUUGGUCCCACACCAUCCUGGCCUGUUGCUACAAGGUCUAGCAGCCUUUUCCACAGAAAGGGAACAAGUGUCCUGGAGAUUUGUUAGGUCUUCUGUAAAGUCUUCAGGAAUAAGAUGUGAGUCAGCAGUAACCAGAAUCUCAGCUUCUGUCACAUGAUAGACACUCAAGUGUAUAACACUCAUUUAAUGUAUCUGACAUGGAGAGGGAGGAACAUGAGGUGUGGGGGCAGAUCUACUCCAGGACAGUCCACCAAGAGCUUUCAACUCUGAAUCAGGUCCUAUUCAAAAUCUCCAAUGUGAAGUGGUGAAUAAGGCUUAUUUUGGGUCAUCUAGCAUCAACCAGUCAGUCGCAUGCCCAUUCUACACCAAAGACAAGCAGCUGGAGAAUUCUACAUUCAGGAAGAAUAAGACCUCCCUGGAUGUGUUCAGCAUAGACCCUGGCUGAGGUUGACUGUCACUUCAUGGCAAGCAUCUCCACUCACCCUUGUAGGCUGCCCAG